rnacentral:rRNA from 1 species
UACGUAGGGUGCAAGCGUUGUCCGGAAUUAUUGGGCGUAAAGAGCUCGUAGGCGGUUUGUCGCGUCUGCUGUGAAAACUCGGGGCUUAACCCCGGGCCUGCAGUGGGUACGGGCAGACUAGAGUGCGGUAGGGGAGACUGGAAUUCCUGGUGUAGCGGUGAAAUGCGCAGAUAUCAGGAGGAACACCGGUGGCGAAGGCGGUUCUCUGGGCCUUACCUGACGCUGAGGAGCGAAAGCGUGGGGAGCGAACAGG